rnacentral:rRNA from 1 species
UAAAACGUAGGGGGCGAGCGUUGUCCGGAAUUACUGGGCGUAAAGGGCGCGUAGGCGGUUAUUUAAGUCAGAGGUGAAAACUACCGGCUCAACCGGUAGCCUGCCUUUGAAACUGGAUAACUUGAGGGCAGGAGAGGGGAGUGGAAUUCCCAGUGUAGCGGUGAAAUGCGUAGAUAUUGGGAGGAACACCAGUGGCGAAGGCGGCUCUCUGGCCUGUUUCUGACGCUGAGGCGCGAAAGCGUGGGGAGCGAACGGG